rnacentral:lncRNA from 1 species
AGAUUUUGACGAGAGAUCUACGUGUCACUAAUACAGGCAGGCUUCUGGCUGCUGUGCCUGUGGUAGAUGGAUCGAGCUAAGUGAUCGUGGGGUUACUCUCCUGGCACAUCAUUUCUACUCUCCGACAAAAUCCACCCGUCUAAGUUCCUCUCCCUGAAGGCUACAAAACCAGAAAGGCUUGGCUGAAUCUGUUUCGAAACACAAAUCCAGGAUUAGAGAAGAACUCUACUGUUUGGAAUAGUGGUGGACUCGAUUCUUUGGAAUAUCUUGGUGAGUGAAAUGAAGUCACCAGCAAUAUUUUCUCCACACUGGUCACCGUGGGAACCGAAAGCAGUGAAGCCCAGUGGACUGACAACUGAGACGAUGCAGAUGCCACAGUAUGGGGGUCUAGGGGGCCAUCCUAAGAUGGGUAACACUUUGCUCAGAAGCUGGGACACCUACUGCUUCCUGCCCAGAUACAUCCCUAAGUAAGGUGCUCAUUUCAACCCCUGUACACAAUUUAAAUUCUAUACCAUAAUAUAAGGAACGAGAAGCAUGAUUACUGCCUUUUAGAGGCCCCUCUAAAUACCACAGCAGAACCAGCCAGAUAGACAAAUCAUUUCACAAAAGAAACGCAGUAAAUGACAAAUAGGAAAUCAAAAGGGCCCAGGGUCUGACUGGGACAGAGAACACUACCACCAGCCUUUGUGGAUGUGAUUAUGGGUUCUGAUUCCCAUUGUCUAAUCAAGGCUGAAGUGGCCCCUUGGAAGCAGUGCCCAAGCGACACAGCUGAUUUCAAAUGGACUUGUUCCCAACAUGGACUUGGUACAAGUCGUGAGAUCUAAAGUCAGAGUUUGAAACAUAAACCUGUCUCUCUAAAGCCAAGCUUCUCGUUGAACCUAAGGGUUUUCCAUGGGUACCAAGUAAAGCACGGGGCUGGGGACAACCAAAUGUUGGUUGCAAAUAUGGUUAUUUUGCAAAUAUGUUAUUUUCUGAGUGUCGAUGUAUAUUCAUAUACACUGUUUGACAUUCAUUCUAUGCAGGGUUGCAUGGCCAUUAUCCUGAAAUGGGUCUUACAGGUGAUUCAAAUGGUUUUCAAGGAGGAUUUUGGCUCCCCUUACUUUUUGUGUUAAGAUACAUUUCAGUGUCCAGACCAGUGUCCAGCAUGGGACAUACUGAGAAAACAAGAACAUAGAUGUUGUCCAGCACCCAAGUACUGAUCCAGACCUGCUUGUUAAUACAGUGGUAUCUCUUCUGGGAUAAAGACAAGAGAUAAGUGUGUGUAGCCCCGAGCGUGUGAGCUUAGCAACUCAGAACUAGGAGAACGUAUUUCCAAGUUUGUAUUCACAUGGGAAAAUUUAUACGUAUUAGCUUGGAUGCGGAUGGCUUUCCUGUCUGUGUUUCUCUAUGUAGCCAGAAAAACCUUCUGGACUUGUUUCUAUUCCAAGAGGCUGCAUGAAUGGUAAAACAUACAGAUGCCAACUUGAGUCAUAUAGAAGGGAACACGUGUUUUCGGGACAUACUAAAAUAGCACAGUAAAAUCGGGCAGGUGUUUGAUCAGGGAAUACGAAACCGUCUUCUCCAAAGACUCUGGAGGUUUUUUUUACUUGAAUGUUUUCAGCAAAAUAAACGGUUACUAGGAAAACAUGCUGUAAACGUAAGAAGGGUCUGCUGGCUUGAAAUGUGGCUGGCUGAUUUCUCCUUCCUUUGUAAUCCCAUUAAGCUCGGUAGCAAAACUCAGCCCUCCUGGCAGCUCUUCUCACCCGCAGCUGCCGGCAGAAAGUGCUCAGUGCCCAGAGUAAAGUCUUCAUUGGUUAAUGACCCUUGACCUUUCAUAGGUGGUGUCUUCCGUGGCAACACUUAGCUUGGAGGCUCCUACAUGAUAUACAGACUGACCAAGAGACAGCAUGGAAUUUCGUUGGAGUCCAAGGCUGGCGUGAUAAAAGGGAAUUACACACCCAAAGAUGUCUAUUCUGGAUUGACUCAACUGUUGAGUUAAUUUUUUUUUUAUUUAGGAUAUAGUGAUUUCUAAUUUGUACUGAUAACAAUCUAUUAGAGUUCUAACUGAUCUUGGUUGUCCAGACAGAAGGCAAGCAAAAUUUAAAAGAUGAUUUUUGCUACUUUUGGGUCUUGUUUCUAAGAACUUUGAAUGUGGCUUUUAAAACAUCAUUAAUACUGCGUACGGGCUGAAGCAUUUAAUGCCUCAUUUAUAGAUCAUUCUUUCUAUUCAGCUAGCAAAAAUCUCCCUGAAUUUUGGCAGUUUGUCUCCAUUAAUUUCAAAUAAAC